AGGGCACCACCAGGAGUGGAGCCUGCGGCUUAAUUUGACUCAACACGGGAAAACUUACCUGGUCCUGACACUAGAAGGAUUGACAGAUUGAUAGCUCUUUCUUGAUUUGGUGGAUGGUGGUGCAUGGCCGUUCUUAGUUGGUGGAGUGAUUUGUCUGGUUAAUUCCGAUAACGAACGAGACUCUAGCCUAUUAAAUAACACACAGAAUCUUGUCUUCUGUGGCGUUUCUUAAUGGGAUCAAGUGUGUUUAACACUUUGAAACAGAGCAAUAACAGGUCUGUGAUGCCCUUAGAUGUUCGGGGCCGCACGCGCGCUACAUUGAGAGACAAAAUGAGCUUUCUAGUCUUUAACGAGGCUAGUAAUCUUUGAAUGUUUUUCUUAAUGGGGAUAGGGGAUUGCAAUUGUGCCCCUUGAACGAGGAAUUCCCAGUAAGUGCUAGUCAUUAGCUAGUACUGAUUACGUCCCUGCCCUUUGUACACACCGCCCGUCGCUACUACCGAUUGAAUGGUUUAGUGAGAU
rnacentral:rRNA from 1 species